UUAUCAGGUAGGAUAAUCUUUACCUGUUCCUGCUUUUAGAGGGCAGAUUGGAACAGGAUGAUUGAAGUUUGCAUGAUUUGUGAUUAGCUUUCUGCAUAAUCAGGACUUAUGCACCCUGAUUGUUCCUAUUUGAU
ensembl:snoRNA U8 U8 small nucleolar RNA